rnacentral:rRNA from 1 species
GGGGAAUAUUGGACAAUGGGCGAAAGCCUGAUCCAGCAAUACCGCGUGUGUGAAGAAGGCCUGAGGGUUGUAAAGCACUUUCAAUAGGAAGGAAUACCUAUCGGCGAAUACCCGGUAGACUGACAUUACCUAUACAAGAAGCACCGGCUAACUCCGUGCCAGCAGCCGCGGUAAUACGGAGGGUGCAAGCGUUAAUCGGAAUUACUGGGCGUAAAGCGUGCGUCGGCGGUUAUUUAAGUCAGAUGUGAAAGCCCCGGGCUUAACCUGGGAACUGCAUUUGAUACUGGAUGACUAGAGUUGUGUAGAGGAGAGUGGAAGUUCAGGUGUAGCGGUGAAAUGCGUAGAGAUCUGAAGGAACACCAGUGGCGAAGGCGGCUCUCUGGACUCAAACUGACGCUGAGGUACGAAAGCGUGGGUAGCAAAC